CAAGCCAGGUCCCUAACUUGUUCAGUCUCUCUUUCUGCAGAAAUCACUUCAACUCCUCGCCUGUUUGGUUGGCUUCUUUGAGAUGCCCUCCAGAUCCCUGGCCUUUCGCCCACAGUUCCCACAGCCAGAGCAGCGCCGAGCACUUCUGUAAAGGGAGGCUGUGCAUCGUGUGGCUGGUGGACACACGCGAGAGGAUGAGAGGCAGCGAAGAGGAGCUCGCAACUUACACUGGGGCAUCGCAAAGACUUCUAGAAAAGCGGUCCUCAACCCUGUUGGUGCCAGGAACCAGUUUCGUGGAAGACAGCUUUUCCACAGCGCCUGGCUCUGACAGAAAGAAACUACCGCUCCGCCUCAGAAAUAGUUGUGAUGCCAGUGUCCUAAUGACACAAGGGUGGCGGCCUUCGUGGAGAAGAGGAGACAAAUGUCAGUUAGCACAGACUCUUGAAUGCGAGCCAGCAGUGUCUCAAAGCCAAGGCCAGCAGCCAUGGAUCAAGGGAUCCUCCAAGACACACAGUUUUGUUUUGCCUUCUCUUAAAUUAGCCAAUCUCUAUAUAUACAUAUAAAUUGGAACCAGUACAGCCCCACCCCUGCCAUCAAUUAGUGGUUCCUCUGGAACACAGGAUCUAAGACAUCCCAAAGCCAGUGUGACCUCCAAACACCACCAAAUAAGUUAACAAUUUUUAAAUACGAUUGUCCCUGCAUUAGUUCCUCAUCUCUGGCCUGAACUCUUUCCUCUCCCUCCCCUGAACAGAGCAGGCCUGCCCUAAUGGGUUCUUCUGGAAAUUUCCUGGUCUUUAGGAUCACAAUGGGAGGAAUGCAGUUUGGACCCCACUCCCUUCAAGGACCUUGGAGGUCCUGGCUGAAGCCACCAAAGUCACGUCCUUAUUUGUCUCCCCCUCCAAGUGCCCCAUGUUUCUCUCUCCCCCAAGCCUCUUGUAGAUACCUCCCUGCCUGGGGGAGUUGGGGGAGUAAGGAGGCAGUACAGGGGGAGGGGGGCCUCACUCUGUUGGUUGCCGUGGAAACCAAGAUUAAUUGGGUGCCCUGGAUUUCAAUUCUGACAUUGGCAGCGUGUCUCAGUAUUAGUCUUUGGCAAUAGUUCUCCCAGAUGGCAUGACUUUCUCAAAUAAAGAAUGCCCACGGUCUGCCCUGCUCCA
rnacentral:lncRNA from 1 species